GAUGAACGCUGGCGGCGUGCCUAAUACAUGCAAGUCGAGCGAACAGACGAGGAGCUUGCUCCUUUGACGUUAGCGGCGGACGGGUGAGUAACACGUGGAUAACCUACCUAUAAGACUGGGAUAACUUCGGGAAACCGGGGCUAAUACCGGAUAACAUGUUGAACCGCAUGGUUCAACAGUGAAAGACGGUCUUGCUGUCACUUAUAGAUGGAUCCGCGCCGCAUUAGCUAGUUGGUAAGGUAACGGCUUACCAAGGCAAUGAUGCGUAGCCGACCUGAGAGGGUGAUCGGCCACACUGGAACUGAGACACGGUCCAGACUCCUACGGGAGGCAGCAGUAGGGAAUCUUCCGCAAUGGGCGAAAGCCUGACGGAGCAACGCCGCGUGAGUGAAGAAGGUCUUCGGAUCGUAAAACUCUGUUAUUAGGGAAGAACAAAUGUGUAAGUAACUAUGCACGUCUUGACGGUACCUAAUCAGAAAGCCACGGCUAACUACGUGCCAGCAGCCGCGGUAAUACGUAGGUGGCAAGCGUUAUCCGGAAUUAUUGGGCGUAAAGCGCGCGUAGGCGGUUUUUUAAGUCUGAUGUGAAAGCCCACGGCUCAACCGUGGAGGGUCAUUGGGAACUGGAAAACUUGAGUGCAGAAGAGGAAAGUGGAAUUCCAUGUGUAGCGGUGAAAUGCGCAGAGAUAUGGAGGAACACCAGUGGCGAAGGCGACUUUCUGGUCUGUAACUGACGCUGAUGUGCGAAAGCGUGGGGAUCAAACAGGAUUAGAUGCCCUGGUAGUCCACGCCGUAAACGAUGAGUGCUAAGUGUUAGGGGGUUUCCGCCCCUUAGUGCUGCAGCUAACGCAUUAAGCACUCCGCCUGGGGAGUACGACCGCAAGGUUGAAACUCAAAGGAAUUGACGGGGACCCGCACAAGCGGUGGAGCAUGUGGUUUAAUUCGAAGCAACGCGAAGAACCUUACCAAAUCUUGACAUCCUCUGACCCCUCUAGAGAUAGAGUUUUCCCCUUCGGGGGACAGAGUGACAGGUGGUGCAUGGUUGUCGUCAGCUCGUGUCGUGAGAUGUUGGGUUAAGUCCCGCAACGAGCGCAACCCUUAAGCUUAGUUACCAUCAUUAAGUUGGGCACUCUAAGUUGACUGCCGGUGACAAACCGGAGGAAGGUGGGGAUGACGUCAAAUCAUCAUGCCCCUUAUGAUUUGGGCUACACACGUGCUACAAUGGACAAUACAAAGGGUAGCGAAACCGCGAGGUCAAGCAAAUCCCAUAAAGUUGUUCUCAGUUCGGAUUGUAGUCUGCAACUCGACUACAUGAAGCUGGAAUCGCUAGUAAUCGUAGAUCAGCAUGUUACGGUGAAUACGUUCCCGGGUCUUGUACACACCGCCCGUCACACCACGAGAGUUUGUAACACCCGAAGCCGGUGGAGUAACCUUUUGGAGCUAGCCGUCGAAGGUGGGACAAAUGAUUGGGGUGAAGUCGUAACAAGGUAGCCGUAUCGGAAGG
rnacentral:rRNA from 1 species